rnacentral:miRNA from 1 species
UCUUAAGAUGAGUGUCCCGCGGGGCCGGAAGCGUUUACUUUUGAAAAAAUAGAGGGUUCAAGCAGGGCGCAAGCCGCCCGGUACCGCCGCUAGGA